AUGCAAAUGUGGAAACGAUUAGAACAUGUACUCAAUCCUUGUUCUCCUCCAAUAUGGAUUAAAUUCACAAUGUGCAACCACACCCUUAAAGACUGUGUACUUCACCCUUACAUUUGGGGAAAAUGGCAGGUUUCAAGAACUGAGGCAGUGCUCAGCUACAGCUUAAGCAGAGAUUGCAGACCUUUUCGGCAUGUAGGCAUUUUGGGAUUCCUGAGGAUGUCCUGUUGGAGUUGCUGUCCCUUANCACUUCUUUGCUCCAAACAGUGGAUGGGACAUGUGGCACCCAGAAGCUUUGCAGAAAAAGAGGACAAGUUGAUUUCCCGGCAAAAAUUAAAUUGCAAGGAGGACUGUCAUCGCAAUUGCUGUGUGCAAAAAAUGAAAAGUAUUCCUCUGUACAUGUGUCUCAGAUGUGCUCCCAUGCACGAUCUUUNAAAUUAAAGGUUUGGUUUGACAGUCACAACAUUGGCAUCUGAUCAGGGAUGGGGGAAAAAUCAGGCCAGUUGUGAUACAAUGUUUGUUUAUUGAAUCCAAAGGAGCAAAAGAAACGAUUUAUUUGCGGUCACAAACCAGCAGUGAGAACUUAGACACAAACAGCAAGAACGGGCUUAGACUCAUAGUAGAUUAAUGGAGGGAGAGGGAUUCCAUGCAAUUGGAGGAUCCAGGACUUCUGAGAGCCAAUCNGAGGAGAGAAUUGGAAUGUUCUGUUGCAGCUGGGGCGUGGUUAAGGCAUCCUCCCUCCAUAUUAAUUUCUCCUCUUGAUUCACAGAUCAAAUCUANCUCUCACUAACUAAAUGAAAUUGCCCAUAUCAGCUAGGGGCUCCUACAACCCAACCAUUCCCGUUUCCUAGCCGAAUAAAGAAGGUUUAUUUAUUUAAAAGGGUCCA
rnacentral:lncRNA from 1 species